AGGUAUCCAUGGAUAAGGAAAUUGUGAAGAAUUAUAAUAUAGGCAAGAAAGCAAUACCUGUGCGAGGAUGCAGAAGUAUUUCCAAACGAGAUAUGAUAUUCAACGAUGCUCUUCCACGUAUAAAAGUGUCUCCGGAAAAUUACAAGACAUUUAUAAUAGAAGCGUCAAAGAAUGGGGAAGAAAUAUGCACGCAUUUAACCUGUGAACCUGCCAAGAUACUGCCUUUAGCUCAGAAAUAUUUUUUAUUUUGACUUAUGAUUAUGCUUUUUAAAAAGCUGAUUUUAUUUAUAGUUUCAUUUGAAUUAAUACGAAUUUUAUGGAUUACACUUCCAAAGAAUGCAUAUGAAGUGUACAUUACUUUUGUGAAUGAAGACAUCUUUCUU